ACACAAAAAUGCACAUGCUGUGAGCUCGAUGAGUAGGGCGGGACACGUGGUAUCCUGUCUGAAUAUGGGGGGACCAUCCUCCAAGGCUAAAUACUCCUGACUGACCGAUAGUGAACCAGUACCGUGAGGGAAAGGCGAAAAGAACCCCGGCGAGGGGAGUGAAAAAGAACCUGAAACCGUGUACGUACAAGCAGUGGGAGCACAGAGCAAUCUGUGUGACUGCGUACCUUUUGUAUAAUGGGUCAGCGACUUAUAUUCUGUAGCAAGGUUAACCGAAUAGGGGAGCCGAAGGGAAACCGAGUCUUAACUGGGCGUUAAGUUGCAGGGUAUAGACCCGAAACCCGGUGAUCUAGCCAUGGGCAGGUUGAAGGUUGGGUAACACUAACUGGAGGACCGAACCGACUAAUGUUGAAAAAUUAGCGGAUGACUUGUGGCUGGGGGUGAAAGGCCAAUCAAACCGGGAGAUAGCUGGUUCUCCCCGAAAGCUAUUUAGGUAGCGCCUCGUGAAUUCAUCUCCGGGGGUAGAGCACUGUUUCGGCAAGGGGGUCAUCCCGACUUACCAACCCGAUGCAAACUGCGAAUACCGGAGAAUGUUAUCACGGGAGACACACGGCGGGUGCUAACGUCCGUCGUGAAGAGGGAAACAACCCAGACCGCCAGCUAAGGUCCCAAAGUCAUGGUUAAGUGGGAAACGAUGUGGGAAGGCCCAGACAGCCAGGAUGUUGGCUUAGAAGCAGCCAUCAUUUAAAGAAAGCGUAAUAGCUCACUGGUCGAGUCGGCCUGCGCGGAAGAUGUAACGGGGCUAAACCAUGCACCGAAGCUGCGGCAGCGACACUGUGUGUUGUUGGGUAGGGGAGCGU
rnacentral:rRNA from 1 species